CUCCUCAAGCUGCAACUUAGCAAUAACAGAAUUGUCCCAACAUCCAUGACAGAAUUGUUUGAUUGAAUUUGUGUCUUUGUCUUGUCUUAAUAUUCUUCCUCUUUUUACUGCUGUGCAAAGGGUAAGUUGUAAUAGCUGCAGAUAGGCUGAUGGCUGCUCUCCAGGAUUCCACAGAAUGUUUAAAAAAUGAGCAAGAAACCUGUGAGUCCUGUACGUCUGAAAAGCUUAAUCCAGGAUUUGUAGAUGACUGCAUCAGAGUCCAAACGUUUAAUCAAGUCAGCAGCUGGUGGUGCAAAGGCGUUUCAAAGCUGUUCAUAUAUCCGGUUUGGAGCUUCAGUACAUGGGUCAGCAGACAAUGGGUCACUAUCCAGUCCAUUUUCACAUGAAUGGAGAUGUGGAUGAGAAAGGAGGCUACAGCCCCCCAACAUUUGUCAGUGAUCUAUCCAUUCAUCACUCUUUCUCACGCUGUGUUACAAUCCAUGGCUCCAAUGGACUUCUGGUAAAAGAUGUGGUGGGCUAUGAAACACUGGGUCACUGUUUCUUUACAGAAGAUGGUCCAGAGGAGAGAAACACAUUUUAUCACUGCCUAGGUCUGAUGAUAAGAGCAGGAACUCUCUUGCCGUCAGACAGAGACAGCAAAAUGUGUCGUGCUAUUACUGAUGGAGCAUACCCAGGAUAUGUGGCAAAUCCACGGCAAGACUGCAGGUAGUGCUAUUGAUAAACUCUAAGCAAUUUGCUCCUGAUCAGUACUAUUACAGUGUUUCCCAACCCUGGUCCUCAAGGCACACU